CCCCCCCCCCCCCACCCAAUGCAGCUGUCCCUUACCCUGAAUACUCUGCAGCUGCAUUCCUGGACCCUUAUCUAGGCACUACAGCAAGGUCACCAGACUUGCUUACAGCCCUACGGGCAGCAUGGGGGAGGUCACGAGAAACGUGGAUAAACCUAAGUUACACCCUCUUGUAAAUUCCUAUAUUGUAACCUGGUCACGAGAUGAUAUGUGGUAAGGUUAACCAACAAACAACCCCAGGGUCUCUCUCCCCCAUAUAAAACCCUCAUUUUGUAAGCUCAGGGCUGCCUCCUUUGACUGUGGUGAAGCAGCCUGGCAGGACGCCAGCUUCCGAAUGAAGCGGAGUUUUUGUCUACCAGACCCACAAGCAGCAUGGUGCGGGUAGAAUCCUGUUUUAAAGAAGCCCAGAACAAUAAUUCCCGCAAUCAUAGAGAAAAUAAGCCAGUGCCCGAAAGCAACAAAUAAAAAUAAUGUGUGAAGAAAAAGAAAAGGACUUCUUCCUAGCGGCGGCAGAUGCCCCCAGACUUUAUGACUUCCUCUCCAUCCCGACAGGGAAAGCAGGACUGAGUUUGUCGGAAGGUGAGCGGGGCUUGGCCAGAGACGGUGUGCGCUGAGGCAGCGGCCCUGGACAAGAGUGGCGUUUGGAUACUUGACGGUGAAAGGGGAAGAAGCCAGUCACCAGCUCCAAAGUCCAGGAACUACACCUGGCAAAGGUCAAAGCCUGCGAGUUUGAAAAUACCAUGAAAAACAGCAUGUCAGAUUUCUUGGACAGGAAGAAAACCUGGAAGAAUGGCAGUAUUACCCCAGGUGACAGAGCUCUGUAAAUCUCAGAGUUCAGGAGCUGUGGUUGAGCUCUCUUAACACCUGCUUCCUUUGGCCAAGAAAGAUGAAAACAACAACAAAAACCCAGCAGCCGCCGUCCUGAGAUGUUCUCUGCAGGGCUGUUUGUGGCUGUAAUUUUAUGCUUGGCCGGACUUCUGGGUUACCUGUUACCUAGCUUCAAGGUGAUAAUUUUCUUUGUUUUACCUACAGGUUUUGCUUUUGCAGCAUGGCUAAAACACUAUGGAAUACAGAUGGAAAUUUUACUCUUGAUUUGGCAUUCAUUUAACAAGCUGGUAUAGCAAAGGAUUCUGUUACUGAAAAAGGCAAAUCACUCAGGAUGUAUAGAGUAAGAAAGCUGAAUUUCAUGCAUGUAAAAUUGUUUUCAUUCAAUUUCUCAAAUUACAUGAAUCCCUGGAAGGUCAAUAAUAAUGCAAAAUUAGAUUUUUUUCCUUAAUUAAAUUAUGUUUUUAAUAGGUUAUUACAUGACCAUGGUAAAAAAAUUAAAAGUACAAAAUGUGUGCAAUAAAAAAUUAUCUCCAUUUCACCCUGCCACCCAGUUGCUUUCCCCAAAGGCAAUUACGUUACCAGUUUCUUAUGUAUUUUUCCAGGCACUCAAAUUUUGUCAACAAGAAUAUAGGUAAUGUAGUUAUUUUAAAUUUUUAACAGAAAAUGUAACAUAUAACCUUUUCGAAUCCCCCCCCGUGUGUGUGUGUGUGUGUGUGUGUGUGUGUGUGUGUGUGUGUGUGUCUGUGUAUCAACACACAGUACUCAUAGAGCUACCGGUUUUUACUGACCAUAUGGUAUUCCACUUUAUAAACAUACUAAUUUAUUUUGUCUAUCUCAGUUCAUAGUGUAGGGGCCAAGGGAAAACUUCCCCUCUACCCUCUGAAGUUUCACUGAAAAAUCAAGUCACAAAAGGCAGAUUAACAGGACAAAUGGCAUACAAAUUUAUCAGCGGGCAUGGGGGAGAAUCACAGAGUGAUUGGCCAAUAUCCCAAUGAGGUACAGAGGGUUGUACCUCCUUAUUAGAGGAAAGGCAGAUGGGUGAUGUAUGGGUGAUUUGGGGGGUUAGAAAAUGAUUUUUAGGGGAAUUCAAUGUGUUUGAAGAACAUACAGUGGCCUGAGACAAAGUAUGUUAAGCCUGCAGAGCUCUCCGUGUGUGUUGACAGACUUCAGUCUUUCUUUCUGCAAUAUGAGUUCAGUUUGUGGAAAGUCAGGGAAGAGACCAGAGGUAACUGUUUUCUUCUUUGGCAAGUCGAGACUUUAGGCAGAUAAGGGAACUUCAGAGAAUACCUUCAUUCUGUGCUUUGGGAAAGAGAGGAUUGGUGAAGGAAGGUCAAAGAAAACUUAAGCCUUCUUCAUUUCAGCAUGUCAAAGUGUCACAUUUUGUGGUAUUGGUUUCUGAGCCCCAACACUAGGCAUUUAAAUUUUGUGUAUAUUUUGCCAAUACAGUGUUACAAAUAGCAUAUUGAACAUACUUUAUUAUGCAUUCGCAGUAUUAUAAUUGAGAUAAAACCCUGGAAAUAUAAUUGGUUGGGAUUAAAUAGCUUUUAUGUAGUGACGAUAAUUAUGAAACCAAUUACUACCACUUACUGAUCUUUGACAAUAACAGGCUAUAGUACACAUUACCUUGAUUCAAUUCCUGCUUUCAUCCUUAGUUCUGAGACUUUCAGGAAGUUACUUAACUACACACAGCCAGCCUCAUGUUCCUCAUCUCUAAAAUGGGAAAAUAAUAAUAUUUGCCUUAUAAGAUUAUUUGGUUUAAAUGAGUCGACACAUAUAAGGUAUUUGUGUCUGUUACACAGAAAACACUCAAUAAUUAGGAACAAUUUUUAUGUGGUGGUGAGCUUCCUUUUGCUCCUUUAGAUAUCUUCUCUAUCCUGCACCCUUCCACCUUCCCUUGAGGUUGAUCUACAAGAGCUAAAUCAAGUGGGCUCUGAUGUCCUCUGGCUUGAGGCUUGGUUGGAGACCAGAGGGAGAAAAGAGAGUGAGGCUGGAGUAUUUAUUUCCUUGGCUCCUUCAGCAAAAAGUCACUGUUCUUUUAAAGGCGAAUAACUGUGUCUGACUUUUUGUCUCCUGUUGGGUUAUAGCAACUCUCCCCUCACAUGUUUUAUUCCUUUUGUUUUCUCUGCCUCUGUUCUUUUGUAUAUAGCUUCCUAAAAAUCUCCUGGAAUUUUCCUAUUUUGCAUGCAUGCUCUGUUGUAAGUUGAGAUCCUGAUGGAUAAAUUUUAUUAGCUACAUUCUUUUUUUGUCUCCUGACCAAAACAGUGAGAGGUGGAUAUGAAGCCUCAUUUUAUUGAUGAGGGAACUGAAGCUUUGGAGUUUGCCGUAGGUCAGUCACCCAGCUGAUGAGUAGCCAAAGGGAAUUCAAGUUCUCUCUCUCAUUCAAAAGUACUUGCUCUUCCCAAAAACGUAUUCUUUCAAUCUAAAUUAUUUGGCCAGGUGUUUUUCCCUGAAGCAUACUUUAUAAUUUUAUUUUCUUCAAGGUUGUAUCUAGAGAAGCUUCUGAUCUAGUAUGUCCCAUGCAGCACUAAGAAACUUAGUUUUAACUUUGAGCCAUUAGGUCUCAGUUUCCUUAUCUGUAGACUGAAAUCAUGUGUUCUCUUCCUCCUGACGAAAAAAAAUAUAAGAACUGGUGCUCUAGACUUAAGAUAAUUUAAAAACCAGAGGUGUCUCAAUUUCAGUUUCAAUUUCAGUGAUCAUUUCUUUGUUGAAGAAAUAAAAAGAAGCUUUGGCAUAGAUGAAAGUGAAAUUCCCUCUAGGUUAGGCCAGAGCUAGUGUGAGGCAAGUAAGACAGAUGCCUAGGAUGUAAAAGUUAAAGAGGCACAAAAAACAACAACAAAGUAGCAUUCAAGAUAAAUACUAUUUUAAGGUGAUAUUUUAAAGCUCAAAAUUAAUGCAAAAUAUCAUGAUAUAACAUUUCAAAUAGAGACAGGAUUGUUAAUAGUGCUGUACAGGCUGAGACAAAGGAAAAGUACUGAUCCUUCCACUACUUAAAACUUUGGGCUGGGCGCGGUGGCUCACCUGUAAUCCCAGAACUUUGGGAGGCCGAGGUGGGCGGAUCA
rnacentral:lncRNA from 1 species